GCAGAUCAACCUCAUGUCAUCUGACAGAGAAAUGAUCAGAGGGAAAACAAGGAGCGCGUGGAGUUCGCCCGGAUACACCCUUCCAGUAGUUGCCACGGAGACCUGACCUCUCACCUCCUGGUUCCCGGGGGGGCGAGCAGGUUGGGGUCGGACCCGGCCGCUCACGCUCAUCCGGCCCACCACCACUGGAUGCAACGCACAGGAAGUCCCUCCCUCUGGAUGGGACACUCAUACGGUCUGAGUCACGUGGCGAUGAGCCCCGGCUUCCCAGCGGGUCUGCAGCCCGUCAUGGGGUCGCUCACCCAAGACCCCAACUCCCAGCUGGUGGUCCUCCCGACAGAGCCCGGGCCUCAUCAUCACCUCGGUAGUCUAAGCAUCUUUUCUUACAACACAC